GUGCCAGCAGCCGCGGUAAGACGAAGGUGGCGAGCGUUGUUCGGAAUCAUUGGGCUUAAAGCGCACGUAGGCGGCCUAUCAAGUGUCUUGUGAAAUCCCUCGGCUCAACCGAGGAGUGGCUGGGCAUACUGACAGGCUUGAGGCAGGUAUGGGCGAGUGGAACUCUUGGUGGAGCGGUGGAAUGCGUAGAUAUCAAGAGGAACGCCGGUGGUGAAGACGAUUCGCUGGGCCUGUCCUGACGCUGAGGUGCGAAAGCCAGGGGAGCAAACGGGAUUAGAAACCCCCGUAGUCC
rnacentral:rRNA from 1 species